GACGAACGCUGGCGGCGUGCUUAACACAUGCAAGUCGAACGGAAAGGCCCUGCUUGCAGGGUACUCGAGUGGCGAACGGGUGAGUAACACGUAGGUGAUCUGCCCUGCACCUCGGGGUAAGCCUGGGAAACGGAGGCUAAUACCGGAUAGGAGCAUACUUUAGCGUGAUGGUAGGAUAGUAUUUUUGGUGUAGGAUGAGGACUCGGCCUAUCAGCUUGUUGGUGGGGGAAUGGCCUACCAACCAGGCGACGGGUGGCGGGCCUGUGAGGGUGGACGGGCACACUGGGACUGUGAUACAGCCGAGUCUCCUCUAGGGGGCGGAGGUGGGGAAAAUUUCAGAAUAGGCGCAAACCUGAUGCAGCAACGACUCGGGGGGGAUGACGGCCUUCGGGUGGAAGACACCUUUCUCUAGGUACGAAGCAUGUUGUGACGGUACCUAGAUAAGAAGCACCGGCUAACUACGUG
rnacentral:rRNA from 1 species